AUUGAACGCUGGCGGCAGGCUUAACACAUGCAAGUCGAGCGAGCGGCGGACGGGUGAGUAAUGUCUGGGAAACUGCCUGAAGGAGGGGGAUAACUACUGGACACGGUAGCUAAUACCGCAUACCUACAGAUGUGCCGCGAUGGGAAUAGAUCGUAGGUGGGGUAAUGGCUCACCUAGGCGACAAUCCCUAGCUGGUCUGAGAGGGUGACCAGCCACACUGGACCUGUGACACGGUCCAGACUCCGACGGGAGGCAGCAGUGGGGAAUAUUGCACGAUGGGCGCAAGUCUGAUGCAGCCAUGCCGCGUGUGUGAAGAAGGCCUUCGGGUUGUAAAGCACUUUCAGCGAGGAGGCGUUACUCGAAGAAGAAGCACCGGCUAACUCCGUGCCAGCAGCCGCGGUAAUUC
rnacentral:rRNA from 1 species